AUUUCGACAUGCAGCACAAAAACUAAAAUCCAUAACAAUUUCUCAAUCCAUCAUUCAAGUUUUAAACAAUUGAAACUCAAUUCCAAAUGCAUACAACUUCUGUUCAACACUACAACUAGCUUUAAGAACCAAAAAACAUAACGUGCAUCAACCAAUAACAACUUGAAUUUGUUACAUGCAUAAACCCAUCAACAAAGACUUAUUCUCUUUGGAAAGUUAAAAUCUUGUACUUUUCUUUAUUCAAGCAUAAGGAAUCGGGCUAUUAAGAGAAGAUUAAGUUCACAUGUAAGAGAAACUAUUUACCUCUUUGAAGUUUUAACUCCUAUAACUUGAUUUAUGCAAGAACUUCCCCUUGAAAUCACUUAACUCUCAUAUAUACUCUAGUACUAAAGAAAACAUUUAAAUUUAUCAAAAUUUAUCCAAAAAGAGAAAAUCACAGGAGAGAGUUGAAGUUUGGAGUGUCA
rnacentral:misc_RNA from 1 species